CUUUUCCUGCGUUGCACCCUCGCCGCCACUCCCUUUUCUUUUCCCACUCUCUGCUUCCUCUCGUUGUGCGUGUCUGUGCACCACAGAUCAGCUGUCUAUCGGUGACUUCCAAGAAUCUUCUGAACGUUUCCGAUACCCUCCCUCUCCACACACACACACACACACACGCACACACACACAAACUCCACCACCACUACCAGCAAGGCAUCGACACCGUUUGCGUAUCUCCUCGCUUCUUCCCUUGCUUCCCGUUAAAAUUCAAGACAAGAAGCAAUGCAGGCCUACACACAACUGGAGAAGCUCUGCCAGAAGGUGUACAGAUUGGCGCACCUUCUGUCUCUCGGCGCUUGGGAUUCCAAGACUAUGAUGCCCUCAAAGGGCGCAGCUGCCCGCGGUGCCGCCCUCGGCGAGCUCUACGGACUCAUCGCUGAGAUGAUCACCAGCCCGAGCACGAAGGCGCUGCUGGACGAAGCAGAGACGGCCAAGGCCGAGCUCACUACUGUCCAGCAGGCGAACUUGCGCGAGCUCCGCCGCAUGUACACCUCUCAAGCAGCGCUACCGACCGAGUUCAGUGUGCUCAAGACCAAGCUUUCGUCAACUACUCCGCUUAUCUGGGCUAAGUGCCGCAGCAACAACGACUUUGCGACUUUCCUGCCGGCGCUGAAGGAGAUGAUUGCGCUUGCGCGCAGGGAGGCGCAGUAUCGCUCUACUGCGACGGGCAAGCCUCUGUACGAGGCCCUGUUCAACCAGUACGAGAGCGGCAUGACGCUGGAGACGCUGGAAAAAAUCUUGCUCGAUGUGAAGUCGUGGCUGCCGGAGCUGCUGCAGAAGAUCCUGGCUGCACAGAGGGACGCGGGGCUGGAGGUGGUUGCGCCUGAGGCGCCCUUUCCCAAGGACAAGCAGGAGGCUCUUAGCCGCCACCUCAUGGAGGUGUGGGGCUUCGACUUCGAGUCAGGUCGGCUGGACGUCUCUGAGCACCCGUUUAUGGGCAUGGUAAAGGAAGACUCGCGCAUCACUACCGCCUACGACCUGCAGGACUUCACCAAGGGGCUCUUCGCGACGAUCCACGAGACGGGCCACUCCAAGUACGAGACGAACUGCGGCCCGGUGGAGAUGCGCGGCCAGCCGGUGUGCGAGGCACGCUCGAUGACGAUCCACGAGAGCCAGUCGCGCUUUGCCGAGGUUGUGAUUGGCCACUCCAGCGCCUUCUUGGAGUUCCUCGUUCCACUGCUGAAGGAAUACCUCGGUGAUCAGCCCGCAUUCUCUCGGGAGAACGUGCGGCUGAUGAACCAGACGGUGAAGCCUGGCUUCAUCCGGAUCCGGGCGGAUGAGGUGUGCUACCCGCUGCACAUCUUGCUGCGCUACGAGAUAGAGCGUGCACUCAUCGAGGGCACGAUGGAGGCAGAAGACAUCCCUCGCGUGUGGAACGAGAAGAUGAAGGCAUACCUGGGCCUGGAGACGGAGGGCCGCGACGAGAUUGGCUGCCUGCAGGACAUUCACUGGUCGAUGGGCGCCUUUGGCUACUUCCCGACGUACUCGCUUGGCUCCAUGUUCGCGGCGCAGCUGAUGGCGACGAUCAAGAAUGAGCUCGGUGAGGAUACAGUGGACAAGUGCAUCCGCACUGGCCAGAUGGAGCCGAUCUUUGAGAAGCAGAGGGAGAAGAUCUGGAGCCAGGGAUGCCUCUACAACACGGAAGACCUGAUUGUCAAGGCGACCGGCGAAGCGCUGAACCCCAAGUACUUUCGCGAGUACCUGGAACGCCGCUACCUGCGCCAGGAGGACUGACCGAGGCGCUACGCUCCGCCAUUUCUACCGCAGUCAAAGGGGCAAGCAAUUCCAAAUGGAUGAACAGCAUGCGGUCGGACCGAGCGCUAGGCAGACUUCAAGAAAGCGCCAGAGGGCUGGCAGGGCUACAAACACCCUUACCAACUUCCUGCCGGUACACGGGCACACGUGCACAUGGUCAUUGCCCUGCGUGUGUCUGUCUGUCUGAAAGGAGUCCGACCCUCCCUGUUUCUCCUUUUUCGAGGGUGCUGCUCUUCAGCUGUGCGGCAUCUUAUCGAGCGCAGCGGUCUCUCUCUCUCUGUGCCCGCUUCAUGAGUCUGCAACCGCCGCUAACACGAAAGAAAAUAAUAGCACAUGCGAUACCGAACGGUGACUCAUGCACACGUUGCCUUCCGAGGAGCCGAGAGGACGAGCCCCGCAGGGGAAAAUGACCGUGGGUGAAGGGCGGGCAAGGGGAGGGGAGGGGGGACGCGAUUCUCCACGCCCACCUAUACGCGUAUGUGAAGUGUGAAGAAGUGUUGUACAAGGUCUGAUCCCCACACCUCGGCUGUCGCGCACCCCUCCCCCUGCCCGCCCUCGGCCACGCUCUCCAGGAUGACCGUCUCUCUCUCUCUUGAUCUCUCCUUCAUCCAACUAGUGCAAUAAGCGUGCCCACCUGACAGACGACUUGUGUGCGUCUUCGUUUCUGUUUUCCCUUUUAUUUCGAUUUCGCAGAGUAUUUCGUUUUCUAUCACCUCUUGGUGCUUCUUCUGUUGUGUAAACAACUGGCGAGCGACACCGCUGCACUGCUGGGUGCAAGAGAGGGAAGAGAAGGGGAGGGGUGCGCUAAAGGGCCUCGCAGCGCUUGUGUGCGCGUGCGGUGUCUGGCUGCCCUUCUCUCUCUUCCUCCUCCCUGUGUACCGCCGAUGCUUUGACGCUCUCUCUUUUCUUCCUCCCGUGCACAUUUGUAUACCGCUCUGUGCCAUCAACACACAGUGGUGAAGUGCGCACACGUGCAACACGCACGUGUGACGUACAUUGGGCUGUGCGUGGCACGCGUGUGGGUUUCCUUUGCGCUUCGCAUAUCUUACGCUUCCUUCGUCCAUUUCUCCUCCUCUCAGGUAGGCGCAUACAUGCAUACAUGUAUAUAUGCAUCUCUCUCUCUACACUACGGUAUAGGCGUACGCAAGGAGGGUCAAUGAUGAUCAGUCUUGCCUCUCUCCCCCUCUUCCUCUUUUUCUUCCUUCUCACCGCCAG
rnacentral:misc_RNA from 1 species